rnacentral:rRNA from 1 species
UACAGAGGCCACAAGCGUUAGGCGGAAUCACUGGGCUUAAAGCGUGUGUAGGCGGGUUGGUAAGUACCUUGUGAAAUCCCACGGCUUAACCGUGGAAAUGCUUGGUAUACUGCCGAUCUUGAAUCAUCUAGGGGCAGCUGGAACUGAUGGUGGUGCGGUGAAAUGCAUAGAUAUCAUCAGGAACGCCAAUGGUGCAGACAAGCUGCUGGGGAUGUAUUGACGCUGAGGCACGAAAGCCAGGGGAGCAAACGGG